UAUGCCUUGAAUCUAAAUUGUCAUGUGUGAAAAUCUGUUGACACUGUUCCCAACUUUAGGCAUUUUUCACAGUGACUACUUUGGCAUAAUACAUAGGUUCUGGGUCUUCCAUGCAAUGCCAUCAGGGCUUGUGGUGGAUUUUUGUAUAUGAAAUUUUUUACAAGUAAUGCCUUUGGGUGCAGCGUCCCUUACCGACAGCAACAGCCUAACAGCCCUCAUCAGGGAAGAGCAAUUAAAAUGAAUUCAUUAAUGUUUGUACUUCUGCUUGAAUGGCUACACAUUUGUUUGUGUUAGGUAAGACUCACUCUGUUGACUAAAGGCAUUAGUGACUCCAAAUGAGUGAUAAUAUGCUUGGCUAUCUCGGGUUGAUAUUUACAUAGCUUGAAUUUUACAGUAGGAAACAAAGCUGAGAUCAUGCUGUCACUGAUCCCCAUAAUCAACUCAAAUUAUCUUUUGAAUCAGAAAGUUAUUCUCCAACAUAGUAGAAACAGACAGAUACGUGGCUCCAGAAAUUGCAAGCUAUUUGUGUUUUUUGGAGACAUCGGCCACCAGGGCACCACUGACCGUAUACCUACCAGAAUGUUUAUGAAAGUGUCUCAGGAGAUCACACAUUUUAUAUUGUGAUCAAACAACAAGGUCCAAAACUUUGAUUCGUACUCCAAAAAGGCCUACAAAAAUAAUGAUAGCAUUCCAAAGCCAGAAAAAAGUAAUUGCUGUUUUUGUUCUUUUGUUUUUCUUAAGUUUCUCUUUUCUCUCUCUCUCUCUCUCUCUCUCUCUCUCUCUCUCUCCCUCUCUCUUUGCUUCUGGUAUGGUCACAUUCGAUGUAAGGGUUUUCCCAAAUAACUGAUAAUAAAAGUUUUAUUAUGCUCUCACUAUACCAUGGUUUAUUUCCACCACUUUAUUUAUGUCUUUAUUUUAUGCCACCGUUUGCUGUCCCCUUUCUAAUACUUACGUUUCCAUGGCAACCAGUCCAUUUGUAUGGACGAUGAAUCAUGGCAAAGUCACAACAAAUACAAUAAAAAGUCUCUUCGAUGUAGUGGUGAUGAGGUGAGGCCAGAGCCUACAAAACAGAAAAAAUUCUCACAUAUGUUUCUGGUACAAAAGGACAUGCCAGAAAAGAAUUGAAGUCUUCUCAUAAAUAUUGAAAGAUUCUGUAUCAUUGACCGGAGGGCGAAUACAGGAAGUCUGUAACAACAUGUUACAAGAAUUAAAGCAGGAAAGUGCCGUGUUUGUUUCACAGGGAGAAGGAUGAGUAUCCCCAGCACCAGGCUGGGAGGAGUGUCACAAAGCCCUGGAAGGAUUGCAGAGCUGUGUCACAGAGGGAACCCUCUUGUCAGCUCUUCUGGAAUCUUCUGGAAUCUUUGCCCCACAGCCUGGGCUGUCCCUUUUUCUGCCUCAGAGGCUAAGGCUCUUUCCAGAACCCCGUCAUCCCCCUGUGAUGGCAGCAUGACUGAGCAGUGGACCCGGUUCCUUCCCCCUGCUUCCUGCUUCUGCACACACAGCCAGUGUAGGCUCUGCCUGUUCUCAGUCCACCUGAAUUGCAGCCAAGCGUAGAAGUUAGAUGACAUUCCCAGAAUAGUCUUUGCCUCUUUUGCCAUCCCCGUGUACUACUAGGGAGGCCAACAUGGAAAAGAGUUGAAAGGAAGAGAAUGAAAAAACCUAACAAGUUUUGUCCCCGCCACCAACCACUGAAAAAAGAUCGGAGGACAAAGGCAGCUAAUGAAAAGACAAGAAUUGACAAAAACCACAGGGUCAUUUCCUGCAAACCUGAAGGGUUGCGAACAGAACCCUCCAAACGUGAACAGGAGCAGGACAGAGCAGAUGCGGAUCGUGAACACAACCGUGGGGCCCACACCAUUUAGCAGUGUUCACAGCAUGUCAGUGAUUUAGUCCUUCCCUUCCUCGCCUGUGAGUAGAAGAAAUGGGCGCACUUCAGUUCAGAGCCAGGACCUUGCAGGAGUCUCUACUACCAGAGAGAGAAUUCAUCAUACAAAUUUUUAAAUUACGGCAUUAUAAUUCAUAAUAAUUCACCUUUGUGAAUGGUCGGCCACAUUAAUGAAGCAGGAUAAUCAAGCUCAUCUUUUUUUCCUCUGAGUAAUAUUGGUUGCUUUUCUUCUUCUGGCUCAUCAUCUUUAAAUCUACCAUUUAUCUUUUUCA